rnacentral:lncRNA from 1 species
UGUAAUCGGAUUUUGAAAUCCAGACGAUACUAAGAACAUUUUAGAGUUUUUAUAGAAUAUGUGAUCACUGGGGUUUGGUGAAUAACACUCAUUUCAUAUAUGUAGGCGUGUUUAACAAAAUUUCAUAAGCCAAGACUUUAAAAGUGAAAUUAUUUUCACCUAAAUAUCUUAGAAAUAUUUUAAAUUAUCAACAAUAUUAUUUAAAUUUUGGAAUUUGAAUCUUGUUUUUUUUAACUGUUCAGCCCAUAUAAAUCAC